CAUAAUCCAAUUAUAAUCCAUAUUCACUACCUCAUAAUCCAUAUACACUUAACCACUAUAUCCAAACACAUAUCAGCAAAUACCCAUAUCCAUAUCCUCAUCCAAUUAAGAAAAUGAAAUGCAAUUAUAAAUUAUACCAUAACAUGGAUUUGCAGAAAACGCAAUGAAGCAAUACAACUCAAAACGCGACACGAAGUGCAAAAUGAAACG
rnacentral:lncRNA from 1 species